rnacentral:rRNA from 1 species
UUNUGAACUGGGUGACUAGAGUGUNUCAGAGGGAGGUAGAAUUCCACGUGUAGCAGUGAAAUGCGUAGAGAAGUGGAGGAAUACCGAUGGCGAAGGCAGCNUCCUGGGAUAACACUGACGUUCAUGCUCGAAAGCGUGGGUAGCAAACAGGAUUAGAUACCCUGGUAGUCCACGCCCUAAACGAUGUCAAUUAGCUGUUGGGCAACUUGAUUGCUUAGUAGCGUAGCUAACGCGUGGAAUUGACCGCCUGGGGAGUACGGUCGCAAGAUUAAAACUCAAAGGAAUUGACGGGGACCCGCACAAGCGGUGGAUGAUGUGGAUUAAUUCGAUGCAACGCGAAGAACCUUACCUGGUCUUGACAUGUACGGAAUCCUCCAGAGACGGAGGAGUGCCUUCGGGAGCCGUAACACAGGUGCUGCAUGGCUGUCGUCAGCUCGUGUCGUGAGAUGUUGGGUUAAGUCCCGCAACGAGCGCAACCCUUGUCAUUAGUUGCCAUCAUUUAGUUGGGCACUCUAAUGAGACUGCCGGUGACAAGCCGGAGGAAGGUGGGGAUGACGUCAAGUCCUCAUGGCCCUUAUGACCAGGGCUUCACACGUCAUACAAUGGUCGGUACAGAGGGUAGCCAAGCCGCGAGGUGGAGCCAAUCUCACAAAACCGAUCGUAGUCCGGAUUGCACUCUGCAACUCGAGUGCAUGAAGUCGGAAUCGCUAGUAAUCGCAGGUCAGCAUACUGCGGUGAAUACGUUCCCGGGUCUUGUAC